rnacentral:rRNA from 1 species
GAAGGGGGCUAGCGUUGUUCGGAAUUACUGGGCGUAAAGCGCGCGCAGGCGGUCCUUCAAGUCAGAGGUGAAAGCCCAGAGCUCAACUCUGGAAUGGCCUUUGAGACUAGAGGACUUGGGUACGGGAGAGGUGAGUGGAAUUCCGAGUGUAGAGGUGAAAUUCGUAGAUAUUCGGAAGAACACCAGUGGCGAAGGCGGCUCACUGGCCCGUUACCGACGCUCAGGCGCGACAGCGUGGGGAGCAAACAGGAUUAGAUACCCUGGUAGUCCACGCCGUAAACGAUGGAUGCUAGCCGUUGGUAAGCAUGCUUAUCAGUGGCGCAGCUAACGCAUUAAGCAUCCCGCCUGGGGAGUACGGCCGCAAGGUUG